rnacentral:rRNA from 1 species
CCGGAGAUGGAUUCUGAGACACGAAUCCAGACCCUACGGGGUGCAGCAGGCGCGAAAACUUCACACUGCAGGAAACUGUGAUGAGGGAACUCCAAGUGCAUGCACAAUGUGUAUGCUUUUCCUAACUUUUAAUCGGUUAGGGAAUAAGGGCUGGGAAAGACCGGUGCCAGCCGCCGCGGUAAUACCGGCAGCUCAAGUGGUCGUCGCUUUUAUUGGGCCUAAAACGUCCGUAGCCUGUUUGGUAAAUCUGUGGGUAAAUCAACCAGCUUAACUGGUUGAAUUCUGCAGAGACUGCCAGACUAGGGACCGGGAGAGGUGUGGGGUACUCUCGGGGUAGGGGUAAAAUCCUGUCAUCCUGGGAGGACCACCAGUUGCGAAGGCGCCACACUGGAACGGAUCCGACGGUCAGGGACGAAGCCUAGGGGCACGAACCGGAUUAGAUACCCGGGUAGUCCUAGGAGUAAACGCUGUGAACUUGGUGUCGGGGAUCCUACUUGGGUUCCCGGUGCCGGAGUGAAGAUGUUAAGUUCACUGCCUGGGGAGUACGGUCGCAAGGCUGAAACUCAAAUGAAUUGACGG